ensembl:lncRNA
UGCUAAGUGGCUUCAGUCAUGUCUGACUCUGUGACUCCAUGGACUGUAACCCACCAGGUUCCUCUGUCCAUGUGAUUCUCCAGGCAAGAAUACUGGAGUGGGUUGCUGUGCCCUCCUCCAGGAGAUCUUCCCGACCCAGGGAUUGAACCCAUGUUUCUUACAUCUUCUGAAAUGGCAGGAGGGUUCUUUACCACGAGUGCCACCUGGGAAGCCCAAAUUUUCCACAGUAUAGAACCAUAAUUCACUAAGGCCCUAUGGAUGGACAUGAAACAAACAAACAAAAAAUACAGCUUUAAAGAGAAACAAACAGAAAAAAGCUCCAAAUUUCAUUAAUUUUUUUUUUCCUUUUCACUGCUCACCAUGGAGGCCAAAACACAGAAGUCUGAUUAUAAUGACCUGCUAUGUUUACCUUACUAAAGACCAAACACCUUUUGGAAUAACAAGACUGAAGGACAAAGCUCAGAAGCUUUAUUCAUCAAACAAACCAUGGCAUGCCAGAAAACACUUAUUUGGAGAAGUAUAUCAGCGUUUUGGUGUUUCUCCCUCCAAAGAUUAAUGUUUAACGAUGGGAAAUGCAAGAAGGAAUGUAGUGGGUGUUGGGUAUUGGCCUUUUCAGUCUGUUUCACGGCAGCUGCGUGCGUCCUGCCCUCAUUCCCAGGUGGGACACAGCUCAGCUUCUUCUUUUUCUCUUUAAGGCUGAGUAGCUUCAGAGUGGAUAAUGUCUGACGGAAACCCUGGAAAACAACGCUGACCCCUCCCCACACCCUCGUGCUGGAAACCUACAUUUCUGCUCUUGUGGCUCCAUGUUGCCAGCUGUAUCACUCCAGGGUGCUGACUGAGUCUUUCUGAAUCUAACUGCUUGCAAACAAUCAAAACACCUGACCAGUUCAUCUCCCAGAGCUGUGUUAGCAAACAAGAGGGUCCAUGUGAAAAUCAUAUUUCAUCAGCUACAUUCAGUGUAGAGACAGGAGGGGCAGGAAGAUGCUACGUAAGGCAAGUGAGAGAUGGAGUCAGCCAGCCUGGGCGGCAUUUGGUCCCCUUCUCUGACGGACCAUCGUAGCCCUAGGUUUAUGGCCGAGUUUCUUCUGUUCAGUGGUUGAAAUAAGGAGGAUGUCCUCCAGCAGCAUUUUGAGGACAAGGGAUAAACAGAAGUAAAAGCCCUCCAAAAUGUUCAUCUCCAUCUUUUCUACCUUUGUAUUAUUCCUUCCACCCAUCCUGUGAUAAACAUAAGGGCUUCAAACCAAACCAAGGAGCUCAGGCUAGUAGGAUGGAGAAGGCAAUGGCAACCCACUCCAGGACUCUUGCCUGGAAAAUCCUAUGGACGGAGGAGCCUGGUAGGUUGAGUCUAUGGGGUUGCACAGAGUCGGACACGACUGAUGUGACUUAGCAGCAGCAGCAGCAGGCUAGUAGGAAGCACAGUAGAAAGCCAGAGAGAGGGACUUCCCUCGUGGUCCAGGGGCUGAGACUCAGGGCCCAGUUUCAAUUCCUGGUGGGGGAACCAGAUCCCACAUGCUGCAACUAAGACUUGGCAUGCCGAGACUAAAGAUGCCAUAUGCUAUAACUAGAAGAACUAGCACCCUUGUGCUGCAACAAAGAUCCCACGUUCGGCAACUAGACCUGGUGCAGCCAAAUUAAUUGAUUUAAUGCAAGAAAUUUUAAAAAGAAAACUAGAGAGAAGUCACUGUGGCAUUGGAAGACACGGGAAGUUAAUAAAGGGUAAAGUAAAGAGAAGAUGAGGAAGAUGAUAGGUAGGCAGGGCUAGUUUAAGGAAGGCCCUUGAAGUCAUGUCAAGGAGUCUGGCAUCCACUAGGCCAGUCCUUUCCAGGAUGGGAUAAGAUGGCACCUGAUCAGAGUGCAAUUUCUGAGUGGAAAAAUCAUCCAUAAUCUAUAUAGAGUGACUUUGGGGGGCAGAGAAAGUCCCAUGAGCCCAUAUUUAAUUCUGUAUUCUUUGUCUGAUGCUGGAAAUUGCACCAUUCAGUGCUUCCUUUCUCAGCACAUCAGAAGGUGUGGUGAUAGCCCCAGUGUAGCAAGGACUCUGGAGAGCCAGGAAGGUGGUGUAUGGUAAUCUGGGCUGGCUCAGAAUGGGACCCAGGCCGAUUACAUUGCACAUCAAUAUAAAUUCACCUUUUAUGAAUCUGCUCUCAGCAGCCAGUGGAACCAACACUGGGCUGGCGUGGACUGGGAUUGAUAGUAACCUGCUGUGUGACCUUAGGGAACUCACCAGACUUUUCUGGGCUUCAGAGGCCUUUCAGCAUCAUCAUUCCAAUGAAGGCUCAUCUAUGCAACCCUAGGAGCUGCCCAGAACCUCCACACUAGCUCUGCUCAGCUUCACAGGACAGUAAACUUUCCCACCAGCACUGGACGUGCCGAUAGUUCACUUGGGUGCCCAAGCUUCCCUUUCAUUGGGGUGAGAAAGAUAAAUCUAAAUACAGGAAAUUGCAGCCCAGUCUUGAACACAGGAAAACUGUUCACAUUUGCCUCAGUUUAACUUAAUCACCUCACUAGGAAGGAUGAGCUAACAAAGGAAAGAACUGGCUGGAAAACAGAUUCAGUUAAACACAAUGUAAAUUUCUAAAACUAGGAUGCCUGUUAAAAUCGCUGUUCUAUGAGACAUGCUUUUGAGAGGAGUUCAAACACCCACUAGAAGAAGCCUCUGGUGGGACAAGUGUCUGAAAAAGGAAGUGGCUGACCCAUGAAGGCAGUGGCUCUCUGUCUUCUGUUGAGAGAACUCGCGCGGUCGGCUGCACUUCUGAACCCUCUGGAACUUAGCUUUUAACAGAAUUGCCUCGACCUUGGAAGUGUUUGUUACUUUUCAACGGAGGAAUUCGUGUUGCAUCGCUGUAAUGCUGUCAUGGGCCAGAGCACAAAUGUUUUGUGUUUGGUAUAUAUAUGUGUGUGUUGUUUAUUUUUUUUUAAGGUCGGGAAGGAAAGGAAAAAGUCGUUCAAGGAUGGUCCCGGUGGUCAGUCGGAAAGGUGGGCGACUCUGGCUUUGAAAACGGUUCACACUCUGCCCAUUUACUUCCAUGCCCUCCCUCGGACUGCUCCAAAACAGACGAUUCAACUGAGUCCCUUUGUAUCCGGUUUUAUUGCUCCGGACCCCUAGGGUCUCACAAGAAACGUGCCCUGCCGAGCCGCUCUCGGAGGCGGCCUCUCCAGCGUUCCCGCUUCUCCCUCGGGGCGGGGAAAGGGAGGGGAGGAGAGGCCGGCCGCAGAGCACGGG